GUCUUCCUGCGAUUGAACAAGUCUGACCUGUCACCUCUGACAGCUGGUGACCGGCUGCUCUGAGCAGCUCUCCAGCCUUAGGACUCUCUGGACAAGCCUGGACUUGUCGGCUAACAUUCCAGGCAGGCACCCCCGCAAAGAUAGAUGUUCUACCUUGGGUUUUUGCUCAAGUGGUUCCCAAGCCAAAGACGUCCUCCCUCAUCGCCCUUUUCUCUCCCCAGGGCUAAGGCCCUCCUGGCUGGCCCUCUCAUGUUCACCCCUGCGAGUCCGCGACCGCCGAAGCUCCAGAGCUGACGCCUCCACUUAGCACCCCGCGUUCGCCCGGCCUCUGCCCGGAGUUCUCGAAGCUCCCGCUCCAGGCUGAAUAUGCGUGAUUUCCCGUCCCGGGUCCAAGUCAAACCUUGGAGUUGCCGGCUCAGUUCUGAGGGGCUUCUCACAGUCUCUGCUCUCUGAGAAGUCUCCAUUCCGGUCAUCCUUCAGAGUCUUCAAGAACUCACUCUUCCUGUCAGUAGUUCGGCGGGUCAACUUGGUCAGACGAGAGGAGCUGAUCUCAAUAGGAGGAGUGGUGCUGGCGGGGCUCUGGGCAAAUACCACAAAUAGGUUGCUCUUGACAGCAAAGAGUUACUCAACUAGGAUACAAUACUGUUUUCCACAAUGCCUCCAAAAAGAGCAUGCCAGCAGAUAAAAGAGACAACGACCUAACUGGAAUGGAAAUUAAUUUUUUUCUUGCACUGAUGAAAAUCUAAAGAUGGCUGCUUAUUCAGGCUAAAUAUCAAAGACAAUAGUUUCCUAGAGUUGCACAGGGUCACCAGAUGCCUUGUCUUUCUUUUAAUAUUGCCACCUCAGGGCACAGAAACAGGUGAGUGUCUGCCACAGUAGUAUGACAGUUUUACCAGGCAGUGUUACGUGCAACAGGAUACUGACAUCUCUGUCCAACUUUAUUCCAACUUAAUUUUCAGUAAUUCAAACACUAUAUUAUAUAGUGUUUGGAUGCUCACUAGAGAAAACCAUUGUGCCCUGUACCCCCUUUAUUAGAGGAAUUAUAUAGAAAUCCACUAAGGUAAGGCACAAACUAUUAUGUAUAAAAUAAGCUACAAGGAUAUAUUGUACAACAGGAGGAAUAAUGGAGUGUAACCUUUAAAAAUUAUGAAUCACUAUAUUGUACAUCUGUAACUUAUAUAUUGUACAUCAACCACACUUCAGUCAAUCAAUCAAUAAAGGAAGGGGAAAAAAAGGAAUCCACUAAAGUGAAUCACAUAUCAGCUGCCGUUUUCUUUUUAAAAUAUCCUCUCCUUUUCUCCUAACUCCAAAUCAACCUCAACUCUCCACCUCAAAUGAUCCUGUCUUCUCCUACUGGACUGACGUCAGAAGUCACUGUAUCUGGGGCUUCCCUGGUGGCACAGUGGUUAAGAAUCUGCCUGCCAACGUGGGGUACAUGGGUUCGAUCCCUGGCCUGGGAAGAUCCCACAUGCCAUGGAGCAACUAAGCCCGUGUGCCACAACUACUGAGCCUGUGCUCUAGAGCCCGUGUGCCACAACUACUGAAGCCCGCGCGGCUGGAGCCUGUGCUCUGCGAUGAGAAGCCACUGCAAUGAGAAGCCCGCGCACCACAAAGAAGAGUAGCCCCUACUUGCCGCAACUAGAGAAAGUUCACGGGCAACAAUGAAGACCCAACGCAGCCAAAAAUAAAUUUAAAAAUAUAAUAAAGUGUUUAAAAAAAAAUUUCGUCACUCGAUCCAAACUCUCCCCAAUUCUCUCCUUUGCAUCUCAAGUUCCUUUGAUAGGUCCCCCUCCCUUUCUACCAUUCUACAUCCGUUUGUUCUCAUUCCUUUAUGAAUUUAUCAAUUAUUUCUCCUUUGUAUCUUUAAUCUCUCUCUAGUAAGUUCUUCCAUUUUAUCUACAAACAUGCUAAGCCACCUUACUGAAGUGAAGGGGAAAAAAACAAAGAUAUUUUCCCUUUUACUACAAUCCUUUUAUUUCCAAACUUUUCUGCAUAAGUCAGUAUCUGCUGUCUUUCACUUGUUCAUUCUUACUAUUUAAUUCCCUGCAACACUCAACUCUCCCCAUUUUAAUGAAACAG